CGCCAAUCCGCCAUUACGAGGAACAGCUUCAGGAAGGAGUGGUUGUCUCUCCCUGUUUUCCUUUGCUGCUCGCCGCUCGUGUUGAGAUACGGAUGUGCGUGUGUGUAUGUGUGUGUGUGUCACUGCAUCCCUGUAGGUGUGAGAGUUACACCUUGGAGGGACGAGGAGCUGGCGACUGUGUGAGAAAACCGCUGUUCGUUCCUUCCCCGCACGACCAGCCGCCCACCAGAGGGAGACAGCGACGUGGGCUUCUGUACAUCUCUUGACACCUGCCAAUACUCAGUAACACAGGCCGCUUGACGCCGCCACUGCCAGAGAUUGCGAGUCUACCUGUGGCCCUUCAAACGCCCCUGAAUCGACCCGAGUGACUCCCAGCUUCUUCAUCCCGCCAGGCACUCCCGGGUAGGCUGCCUUCGACACCUUGGCCACCAGGAACAAGACGAACACGGUACAGGAUGCCCUAAGAAAUACCGGCCAUUUCUCCUGCUCAGUAGCGCGGAAGGACGAGCAGGUCAUCACAAUAACUCCUCGGAUGACGUACAGUGCCAGUCCAUUACGGCAGGC